rnacentral:rRNA from 1 species
AGUGAACGCUGGCGGUAGGCCUAACACAUGCAAGUCGAACGGCAGCACAGUAAGAGCUUGCUCUUACGGGUGGCGAGUGGCGGACGGGUGAGGAAUACAUCGGAAUCUACUUUUUCGUGGGGGAUAACGUAGGGAAACUUACGCUAAUACCGCAUACGACCUACGGGUGAAAGCAGGGGAUCUUCGGACCUUGCGCGAUUGAAUGAGCCGAUGUCGGAUUAGCCAGUUGGCGGGGUAAAGGCCCACCAAGGCGACGAUCCGUAGCUGGUCUGAGAGGAUGAUCAGCCACACUGGAACUGUGACACGGUCCAGACUCCUACGGGAGGCAGCAGUGGGGAAUAUUGGACAAUGGGCGCAAGCCUGAUCCAGCCAUACCGCGUGGGUGAAGAAGGCCUUCGGGUUGUAAAGCCCUUUUGUUGGGAAAGAAAAGCAGCAGGUUAAUACCCCGCUGUUCUGACGGUACCCAAAGAAUAAGCACCGGCUAACUUCGUG